rnacentral:rRNA from 1 species
UGGGGAAUAUUGGACAAUGGGCGCAAGCCUGAUCCAGCAAUACCGCGUGUGUGAAGAAGGCCUGAGGGUUGUAAAGCACUUUUAAUCGGGAGGAACACCUGUCAGCUAAUACCUGGCAGUAUGACAUUACCGAUAGAAAAAGCACCGGCUAACUCCGUGCCAGCAGCCGCGGUAAUACGGAGGGUGCAAGCGUUAAUCGGAAUUACUGGGCGUAAAGCGUGCGUAGGCGGUUAUUUAAGUCAGAUGUGAAAGCCCCGGGCUUAACCUGGGAACUGCAUUUGAUACUGGGUAACUAGAGUUUAGUAGAGGAAAGUGGAAUUUCAGGUGUAGCGGUGAAAUGCGUAGAGAUCUGAAGGAACACCAGUGGCGAAGGCGACUUUCUGGACUAAAACUGACGCUGAGGUACGAAAGCGUGGGUAGCAAACAGGAUUAGAUACCCUGGUAGUCCACGCCGUAAACGAUGUCAACUAGCCGUUGGUCUUAUUCGUAAGAUUAGUGGCGCAGCUAACG